rnacentral:rRNA from 1 species
UACGUAGGGUGCGAGCGUUAAUCGGAAUUACUGGGCGUAAAGCGCACGUAGGCGGGUUCUUAAGUCAGGGGUGAAAUCCUGGAGCUCAACUCCAGAACUGCCUUUGAUACUGGGAAUCUCGAGUCCGGGAGAGGUGAGUGGAACUGCGAGUGUAGAGGUGAAAUUCGUAGAUAUUCGCAAGAACACCAGUGGCGAAGGCGGCUCACUGGCCCGGUACUGACGCUGAGGUGCGAAAGCGUGGGGAGCAAACAGG